rnacentral:rRNA from 1 species
UACGUAGGGGGCAAGCGUUGUCCGGAAUCAUUGGGCGUAAAGAGCGUGUAGGCGGGUCGGCGCGUCGGCCGCUGAAAUCCCCCGGCUCAACCGGGGAAGCGGCGCCGAUACGGCCGGCCUGGAGGGACGUAGGGGGGGCUGGAACUUCCGGUGGAGCGGUGAAAUGCGUUGAGAUCGGAAGGAACGCCCGUGGCGAAAGCGAGCCCCUGGACGUCUACUGACGCUGAGACGCGAAAGCCAGGGGAGCGAACGGG